rnacentral:rRNA from 1 species
GACAGAGGGUGCAAACGUUGUUCGGAAUUACUGGGCGUAAAGCGCGUGUAGGCAGCUCGGAAAGUCGGAUGUGAAAGCCCUGGGCUCAACCUAGGAAGUGCAUUCGAAACUUCCGAGCUGGAGUGCUGGAGAGGAAGGCGGAAUUCCCGGUGUAGAGGUGAAAUUCGUAGAUAUCGGGAGGAACACCAGUGGCGAAGGCGGUCGUCUGGGCAGAUACUGACGCUGAGGUGCGAAAGCGUGGGGAGCAAACAGG